rnacentral:hammerhead_ribozyme from 1 species
AUCCAGCUGACGAGUGCCAACUAGGACGAAACGUGUGUCCUGAGU